GGGGCGGGGCGCGCUGGCGCCGGGGGUCUCUUCGCGGCUCGUCGGCUCGGCUCUUCAGGUUUAUUCGAAAAGUGUUGCCUGUAGCGCCGCUGUGACCCCCCAACACGUGUCCCCGACUCCUGCCGUUGUGGAGCUUACCGAGGGGUGGAGGGAGGCAGACACUAAUCAGCACCGAUGCACAAUCUAGUUCUCAUCAGUAACCAAGAGGUUUGGCAAGUGAGAAAACAUCACCCUAAAACAAAAGCGGGCUAUUUGCACUUCAGAACGAAAAGAGGCAAAGUAUUCUUUUAUAACCAUCAAACAAACAAAUGAAAGAACUAAUCCAGCUUUCUGUUAUUUGGCUCAGAAAAGUCUUAAAUCUGUAACAAGAGAGUAACUUCCUGUUCUCAAGAGUAUGGCUGCCAAAGAAAACAUUUACAAGAAAAGUCCCAGGGCCAAAAAAUUGCCUACUAAUUAUUUCUUAACCCCCUCCCACCCCUAAUUCAGGAAGGUGAAUGCUGUAAAUGCUAUAUGUUAAAACUCGAAAGUAUGUGUUGAAAAAUUAAGAGAAAACCCCUAAGAACUGUUUGCUAUUUAUUUAUAUUUUAUUGCAUUCAAAUUACAUGAGUUUUAUGGCCCUUGGGCACAAAUUAAUGUUUCUUACAAUAUUCUGUUCAGAAUUCCACAAAGAUUAUACUAUACCUU